GACGAACGCUGGCGGCGUGCUUAACACAUGCAAGUCGAACGGAAAGGCCCUUCUUUUUUGGGGUGCUCGAGUGGCGAACGGGUGAUUAACACGUGAGUAACCUGCCCUUGACUUUGGGAUAACUUCAGGAAACUUGGUCUAAUACCGGAUAGGAGCUCCUGCUGCAUGGUGGGGGUUGGAUAGUUUCGGCGGUUGGGGAUGGACUCGCGGCUUAUCAGCUUGUUGGUGGGGUAGUGGCUUACCAAGGCUUUGACGGGUAGCCGGCCUGAGAGGGUGACCGGCCACAUUGGGACUGAGAUACGGACCAGACUCCUACGGGAGGCAGCAGUGGGGAAUAUUGCACAAUGGGCGGGAGCCUGAUGCAGCAACGCCGCGUGCGGGAUGACGGCCUUCGGGUUGUAAACCGCUUUCGCCUGUGACGAAGCGUGAGUGACGGUAAUGGGUAAAGAAGCACCGGCUAACUACGUG
rnacentral:rRNA from 1 species